rnacentral:misc_RNA from 1 species
AAGUCGUAACAAGGUUUCCGUAGGUGAACCUGCGGAAGGAUCAUUCAAGCUAAAUUUAAUUGGCUACCUUCUAUGUUAACUAGUUUAUUUUUUUAUUUUUGUUGGCUGCUAUUUUCUAUUUUUCUAAGCUGACUUGUUUAGAUAAUUUCUUGUGGUUAGUUACUUAAGAACCUCACACUAGAAUUCUAAAUUAGUUUAUGCUUCAAAGACAAUAAAUGAAAAAUGCUACCUAAAAGUUAUACCUUUAUGUUUAAAUCUCUUGUAAAAUCUCUACCAUAAAAUGUUUAAAACAUUACAACUUUCAACAAUGGAUCCCUCGGCUCUCA